GCGCGAGUGGUGAAAUUGGUAUACACGUAUGCCUUAGGAGCAUAUGCCUUCGGGCGUGGAGGUUCAAGUCCUCUCUCGCGCACCA
rnacentral:tRNA from 1 species